rnacentral:rRNA from 1 species
GGGUCAGUAGGUUGGUCGUGCCACCGGUACGUACUGGUCUCACUGAUUCCUUCUUCCUGAAGAACCGUAAUGCCAUUAAUUUGGUGUUGCGGGGAAACAGGACUGUUACUUUGAAAAAAUUAGAGUGUUUAAAGCAAGCUAACGCUUGGAUACAUUAGCAUGGAAUAAUGAAAUAGGACGAUCGAUCCUAUUUUGUUGGUUUCUAGGAUUGACGUA